CUGUUUAUUGUCAAAUGACCAGCCAUUUUUCACUUGGCAGCUCUAACUGCGGUGAACAAGACUGGUGGCACCAGGAGCACCACCACUCACCAGCCUCUGGCAGGAGGAGGCCAGCCUCCAAAUCCCAGAGGCUAAGAAGAUCUAAAGUGAGUUUAAGGAAACUCCUGUUGGGACAGACAUUUACAGACCCGACAAUGACAGAGAGAGAUCCCCUGGCAUCAGUGUGUGCAUUGAGGAUGACGUUUUAACAGAGGAUGCACUGCUCAUCUUGUCCGUUGACUGCCUCAAGGAGCUUUAUCACCAUGAGCAGAUCUGUAGCUGUAGCACAUGACACCCCUUCUUGCCUCUUGUAUUCUCCACAGAAGAUGCAGCCUCCUGUAACUGGCUGUAGUUGUCAAGCAGUGGGGGGUGUGGACUGUUGAUGGUUGUUUCGAGAUGGUGGGGUGGGAGAUGGAAUGGAAAUAGCUCAGGCAGUGAGGACUGAAAAGUAAAGCAGCUUUUUGUGUGUGCAUCUUCUAUCUGAUCUGUUUAGUUCUGGCGGAUUCCUCUACCUGACACGUGGGUCUUUCUGUUCUGGUGCCUUCGGAGGGAUGAGUUUGUGAGUGCCAUCACCAGGCCUUCUGCCUGGUCCCUGUAUGGGUCAGAGCCAGGGCUACAAGCAGCUGCCCCUCACUAAUAGUUGCAGAACAGUCCAGUCAGUCAUAUAUUUUCAAAGUGGGGGGAACAAAUCAUUUGGGGGAUAAACCUCACAGGGGCUGCAGAAAAAAAUGACAGCAGGAAGCUUGUAAAGGACGAAGACGAUGACCAAUUAGUUUUGGAAGGUAACUGUCCUGGAGCCACCGGAUUGUUGGCAACUACCUUUUUGGAACAGUUUUUGAUAACUGGGAGAGGGAGUUUCUCAUUUUAAUUGAGACUAACCAUAUUCAGAGCAGUUGUCUGUGUCACCUAGUGUGUCCAUCUCUCUGCCUUUUCAGCUUGGCAGUCUCCUUUAUUUUUCCCCUGCAUGUUCUGGUGAUUUGAAAAAUGAUCCAUUCUUCAAAGCAUCCCUGGUAAUUUGGACCAGUGUUGUAUUUCUUCGGAGGUUGAUGCUUUUCAAAGCUGCAGCCUGUCUUUCUGCAGCAGCUAUUGCCACCUCUCUAUAACAUAUAGCCUUAACAGGGAGAAAACAGGUCUGAGGGGCUGCACUUUUCCUAGGUGCAAAGAAAUUUGAGAUGACACCACAAUCAACAGAAAACACUUAUUUUUUUCAGGUGGAGUACAGAUGAAGUGAGUAAUCAGACCUUUUAUGAAAUGAAGGAUUAUUAGGGAAUGGCAGCACUAAUUUCACUUUGUGAAGCACACUGGAGAUCUCUAAAUGCUGUUCCCAUUAUUGGUAUAUUGGUAUAUGUAUAUCUAUAUGUACACAUAUAUCAGUAAAUAUUUAUUAAAUAAGCAUGCAUGUAUGCAUUCUACUCCACACCAAAAGAGACUCCGCAAUUUUGUUUGUUAUCUUAGCAGUUAGUGGGUUCAAAAAAACCCCACAACCUUUUUAGCAAGACUUAAGAUCUGCAUGAGUUUAGUUUAGAUCUACUGAGUUAAGGGAAAUAUUGCAAUACUGAUUUAGGGCAAAAACUUAUGUUUUUAUUUUAAAAAAAAUCUUGCAAAUUCUGCUAUGAAAACAGCUAUAUUGUUUCAGGUGAAAAAUGAAUUUUUCCUCAAGCAUCCACCUCCUGUUUCCAAACAUUCCUUUGCAGUGGCCAUCACACUAUAGCCUUAAAUAAGGGGCAACAGGACCAGAAGCUGAAUGUAUUCAGCUUGAUUUUAUUGUCACCAAUAACAGAUACGCUGUAGGUGAGCAGCAUCUGGGGAACAAGGCAGUUAAAUGAAAUCAAAUCUUUUCAUGUUGACAACUAGAGGUGUUAAAGUGUGUGUAAAUGAGAGCAGGCAUUCUUCAAACUUACCUUGAUCAUAUGUUUGGCUUUGGCCCUGAUCCUGCAAGUGUUUAAGUACAUGCUUAACUCAAGGCACAUGUGUCACAUGUCUUUCAAAUCUGAUUCCCAUUGAAAAUGGGACAUGCRACACAUUGAAUGACAGCAUCAUCUUGUCCUUUCUGCAGGCCUCUACUUUAGUUUAAAUUUUACCUGAAGACUUUCAGACAUUCCAUCCCAGCAGCCACUGGAUUUCAGGUAAAAGCUGUAUGAAUAUUUGGSUGAACAGGGAAGGCAGUAUUCUGCAUAGAUUGCUAUAAAGUCAGAAAUACUCCAAGAUGCAGUGUGAUAUCUGUAUUAUAUAAUCAGCUGAAAUUCAGUCCUAAGCCCAGAUUUCUUACAUCUGUACCAUGGGGACUAAGCCAAGACUUAGAAUAGGUGUAAGGCAUGAUAGGGGAGAAAUUCAAGUCUGCACCUACCCUGAAUGUAGGUUUACCUGUCUGCUUACCUAUCUAUAGUGUGUAUGGCUCAGCCACUUGAAGUCUCCCAUUUGCUCUAACAAGUUAUGUAGCCAGCUCCACAGAGAUGAUUGUGGAUCUUUCCUGGGCCUUCAGCUCUAGUGUUGCCACCUGCAAAGAUGUAAGGUAGAACAGAUUGACUGUCAGCUUGGACUCCUGCUUCAGGCUGUCCCAACAACUCUGGGGCCAAGCCAUAGAUAGCAAGACAGACAUAGAGAGAGCCAGACUGGGACAGUACUAUUUGGCCCAAAUGCCUGUGGUAGGUACAGCACAUAUGUAGCUUGCCUGUAUGCAAGUAAGGGAAUGUUCUUUCUGGGCCUCUACUACCUCCUCCUCCUCCUUCCUCUAUCCACACAGCAACAUAGUGUACAGAUCAAUUAGAAAACAGCUGACUCUUUGUAGAGAGCGUAGUCUACAGAGUGCUUGCAAAUCUGGGUGACAUUCCAAGAUCUGCUGUGAGCCUGCUGGGGGACUUUCAGGGAGUGUUUUCCCCUCAGUUUCCACAUCUUGAGGAGUAAUACUGACCUUCUCUGAGAAGCACUUUGAGCUAUACUGAUGAAGUUUCCAGCACCAGCUCCCAUGGCUGUUGUCUCCAUCUUUUGCAGUGGAGUAGGCAGGGCUUAGGCAAUGCUGGCAYCAUAAGUUAGACCUGUGUUGAAUAACUAUUUUUAACCUAAUUUGUGUGCUGAGAGAGUAGUCUGAGCAAUGCUGACUUGUCUCUAGCAAUUAUGAUGAUUUAUUAAAAAAAAAUAUUGCUAAUAAAUGAAUGGACUGUGGUAAUGACA
ensembl:lncRNA